AGUGAACGCUGGCGGCGUGCUUAACACAUGCAAGUCGAGCGGUAAGGCCCUUCGGGGUACACGAGCGGCGGACGGCUGAGUAACGCGUGGGAAUUUGCCCCAAAGUGAGGAAUAACUGCCCGAAAGGGUAGCUAAUGCCGCAUAUGGUCUUCGGAUUAAAGGAUUUAUCCGCUUUGGGAGAAGCCCGCGUUGGAUUAGGUAGUUGGUGAGAUAAAAGCUCACCAAGCCAACGAUCCAUAGCUGGUCUGAGAGGAUGACCAGCCAGACUGGAACUGAGACACGGUCCAGACUCCUACGGGAGGCAGCAGUGAGGAAUCUUCCACAAUGGGCGAAAGCCUGAUGGAGCAACGCCGCGUGCAGGAUGAAGGCCUUCGGGUUGUAAACUGCUUUUAUGAGUGAAGAAUAUGACGGUAACUCAUGAAUAAGCACCGGCUAACUACGUGCCAGCCGCCGCCGUAA
rnacentral:rRNA from 1 species